rnacentral:rRNA from 1 species
CGCGUAGGCGGCUUGUACAGUCAGACGUGAAAUUCCUGGGCUCAACCUGGGGGCUGCGUUUGAUACGUGCGGGCUUGAGUUCGGAAGAGGGUCGUGGAAUUCCAGUGUAGAGGUGAAAUUCGUAGAUAUUGGGAAGAACACCGGUGGCGAAGGCGGCGACCUGGUCCGAUACUGACGCUGAGGCGCGAAAGCGUGGGGAGAAAC